rnacentral:sRNA from 1 species
AUCGCGAUAGCGCAAUGGGGGUCGGCAUGGGGUUGGCUCAUCUAUUCGACUCGAGCGCAGCGAGAGAACGUUGCGUCAGCAACGGCCCGCAGGGCGAGCCACGCAGUGGCGAGUCAUCCUCUAUCACCGACCA